rnacentral:rRNA from 1 species
CCUACGGGGGGCAGCAGUGAGGAAUAUUGGUCAAUGGACGAGAGUCUGAACCAGCCAAGUAGCGUGAAGGAUGACUGCCCUAUGGGUUGUAAACUUCUUUUAUAUGGGAAUAAAAUGUUCCACGUGUGGGAUUUUGUAUGUACCAUAUGAAUAAGGAUCGGCUAACUCCGUGCCAGCAGCCGCGGUAAUACGGAGGAUCCGAGCGUUAUCCGGAUUUAUUGGGUUUAAAGGGAGCGUAGGUGGAUUGUUAAGUCAGUUGUGAAAGUUUGCGGCUCAACCGUAAAAUUGCAGUUGAAACUGGCAGUCUUGAGUACAGUAAAGGUGGGCGGAAUUCGUGGUGUAGCGGUGAAAUGCUUAGAUAUCACGAAGAACUCCGAUUGCGAAGGCAGUUCACUGGACUGCAACUGACACUGAGGCUCGAAAGUGUGGGUAUCAAACAGGAUUAGAUACCCUUGUAGUC